ensembl:snRNA U6 U6 spliceosomal RNA
AUGCUCACUUCAACAGUACAUAUACUAAAACUGGCUCUUUAUGGAAGGGAAGAGCAUGACCCCUACACAAGGACAGCAUGCAAAUUUGUGAAUUGUUCCAUAUUUUU